GUCUCUCUCUCUCUCUCUCUCUCUCAAAAUAAAUAAACUUAAAAAAAAAAAAAAAAGGUGAGGUCUGGAGAAGGCUGACUGCUCUCAGUUAGAGGAGAGCCAGAAACUAGGAUUCUGUUGUUCCCCAGACUAAACCCCCCAACUCAGGGCAAACAGAACCUGCUGAGAAUUCAGGCUUAUCAGAGAUAAUAAAAGCAAAGCCCAGGGUUUAAGUGGUGCUAUUUUAAACAAACAUUUAACCCCAUGGAAGUCUGAGCUUUCUUUAAACAUUGUUUGCAGGAGUGGGGGAAAGGCCGGCAAGGCCUCCUCCUAGAGUCCGGAGCUAUGGUGGGUAAACUGGAAAAUGACCCACCCGGAGGAGUGGGGCCCUCCCAUUCCAGAGUAGCUGGCGGCCUGAGGCAGCGGGCUCUCCCUACACAAGGGUGUGAAGGAACUAUGCCAGGUGUGGCCUCAGUGCAAUUACCCACCUGUUUCUGGGCUAAGCGCUGGCGAGACAAGGGGGCCUGGGCGCAGCUGAGGCCUUUUUGGCAGUCCCUGGAGGGGUUGGGCUGGGCUGGGUUGCUGCUUGCCUGCCCACAGGUUCUGCCUGGAGAAAUUUCAGCUCCUGGGAGUCACCUACAUGUGUAUCAUCUCUGCUUGGGGCCCCGGCUCCUGCGGGUAGGUUGGGUGGGGGACCUCCAGCUCUCAUUUCCUGUUCACAAUAACCUCUGAGGCCCCAACGGCCGCCCACAUCCCUAUUUCUCUGAUCUCCUUUUCUGCUCACCUUUGCUCCUCACUCACUCUGCUCCGGCCACGCUAAUCACCGGGCCUCCCCUAACUCACGGGCUCUGCUCUCGGUCUGGAGCCUUGCACCGGCUAUUCCCUCCACCUGGAAUAUUUUCCUGCCAGAUGCUGCUUGGCCCCCUCCCUCACUUCUUGUUUCAGAUGCUGCCCCUCAGGCUUAUAUUGAUCAACCCCUUUUAAGUAGCUUCCCUCUCCCCAAACCUUCGCCAGCAGUUGCCAGACAUCCCCUUCCCUGGUGCUUCCUCCCCACCUUCCGCCACCGUAGCUUUAUUGUCUUUUUAUAUACCAAUUACUGUCCCUUCUACUAGAAGGUAAGCUCCGUGAGAAUGGAAUUUCCUCGCUGGUUCCCCAAUAUUGGGCAACCGUGAGCAGGGAUGGAGAGCCUCUUUCCCAGAAAAGAAACACCUGGCCUCAAGUGCCUAAAGGCCCUAGGUAACCGCUGGUGGUGGGCGGAGCCAGAGCGUGAGCGUCGCCUGCCCGCCGGCCCAUGGCUCCCUGCCUUCCUCUCUUAACCCAAGUUUUCACCGUGUACCUGGGACCCGGAGGCUGCUGCCUGGACGAGAGCCUAUACUUUGUGGCUAAAGAGAGAAGGACUUUGAAGGGCAGAGGAAAUUCUUCUUCAACAGUUGACAUAGUCAGUAGGAUACUUUAACUCACUAGACACCACUGCAACGGAGAUCCUUGGGACAUCUGACAUACACCCGGCAGAAGAUUAAAAAAAAAAAAACACAAACUUUUUCCUCUUAAAUGACUUAGAGCAAUUUGAUAGAAUACUACCACUGGAACAAAUUGAAACUUGCAUCUUUUUCUCUACCUGAACCCUCCAGAAUUCAGAAACUCUCAGUAAGUAUUCUUAUAAUUAUUUGCACAAGUUCAAUUCUGUUCUCCUUGUAACAGGACACAAUUGGAAACACUGGUUAUAUAACCAAGGCUCUGACUGGAAUGUCACAUUUGAUACAUGCAUAAAUUCAGAUAUGACCAGACAGCUUUAAGGAGCCAAUAAAGCCCCUCAGAGAUAUCAAUUUAGUACCUUGCUUACAGAGUUCCCAGCAGCCUUACCAGGUGAGUAAAUGUUGUUAAUUCCUGACAAGUACAGGAACCUCAGGAUAUUUUGGGGACCUCGGGAAGAGAGGAAUUCACCCAAAUCUAUAGGUAUUGCAGAAGUUGUGAUGAUGUUUUGUUGGGGAUCUGGUCUCAAGAGGCUGUUAAAGCUUCAACCUAGAAAAAGCUCCAGGCAAAGCAGGUUUUAUUGCUAUUCCUGCUGCACUUAUAUAAGUGAUCAGGCCACGUUUUUUUGAAACUAGAUUUUACAAACAAAUGAGUUAUUAAUUUGGCUCUCUACGAAAGGUGAUUAUAGAGUAAAUAGGUUUCAGUAACAUACCUAUUAGAUUCUAAUACUGUUCAUUAUAAUCUAGACUAGAUCCUGAUUUCUUCUAGUUUCCUACGAUGCCUAGCUAUAACUCUCCACAAACAUUUUUUAUUUUUGUCCCAACCUUCUACAUUGAGUUCAUCUGAGAACUAAAACUGCCCUUUCCCCUGAAGCCCUCCAAAUUAAAUAUGAAUAAAUUUAUGUAAACCUCAGAGAAAUAAACACAUCAGCAUAUACAGGCACUCUUCAUGCCUUUUGCUCUGUGGGCCAUUCAAAACGAUCACCAGAGACAUUCAAACUACAAGCCAGAGAAAAUCUGUCAGACUGCCACUGCACUGAAGACGCUUUAAGCUUGACAUCUAGAAAUCUUCUCAACUGGCUACCCUCAAAACUCAGACACCAGCUUAAAAUUUGAUCUAAUCACUAACUGCUCCCUGUGUUUCCACAGAAAUGCCUCUUAUUUAAUACCUGAUUGCUUGAACUAUAGUUCAAGGCCUAACUCUGAGAACACACUUGCAUCAUGCCCCCCAAAAUGAGUUUAACUGAUCUACUGACCAGGAAGGACUGGUUCAACCAGACAGAACAAUCAACCGGCUCAAUUUUAAUUUGUGAAACUUCAGGGAAGUUUCAGAGGAGGAAACUGCAGGGGCCCGGGGCAGGCAGCCCCAAAGGCCACUUUGGCACGAACAUUCGUUGUUUAAAAUUCAGGAAAAGCUCUUAACCUUUCCCUCAACUGCCUAAAUUUACAUUGGAAAGGCGAGCCUGUACCAUGAACAAGAGAUACAUCUUUACUGAAGAAACUUCCCUAUGUAACAGGACCACCUUUAUUUUCCAAACAUUUCCUCUCACCUUCCUGCUAAUAUUCCUUACCCUCCUACCCCUCUCCUUACCUCAUGUUGCUUGUCUUCAGAAUUUCAUGGCUGUGUGCAUUCCCCAUACAUAAGAUAUUAAAUUUGGUUUUCUCCUGCUAAUCUGUCUCAUGUCAAUUUGGUUUUUAGUCCACCUAGGACUUUGGCCAGUAGAAAUGCUUCCUUCCCAAUAUAUCAGUCCUGCACUGCUGGAAAAAUCCUACUUGAUCUCUUUAUGUUAUUGUACUACAGUACUAAAUUCUAUUAGCUAAUGGUUUAUGUAGGAUUCUUUGGUCUAUAAUAAUAUCUUUACUUUUUGAUGCCAUCUUUGUGAGAUUUUAGAACUGGGGUUAUUUUAGCUUCUCAUAAUAUGCAUGCUUUCAGUUACAUAAUUUCAAAUUCCAGGGAUCUUUCUCACCAUAUUUUUCCUUUCUAUGAAAACUAAUCUUAUCAAUUAACAUUCCAGAAACCACACAAGGAAUCCUUGCAUAAAGCAUGUAAAAGCGUGUGAAAGGUAAUCACAUCUCCAUCUGUUUAAUAAAGAAAUGCAUAUCGCCUAAAAUUCAUCACAUUCUGGAUGCCCCAAGAAAAGUAGUACCUUUAAUUGAUAACAGUGGUAAACAGAGAGAAUGAGGCGAUCCCCAACUCUACCGUCUAGUUUUUUAAGUCAACAGUAAGCUCUUUAAUAAAAUAAAAAUCAAGUCUGAAAAUUCAAAGGAAAACCAGCUGAGAAUACAGGAAACUUGUUUCCAGCCAAACCCUAAACCCCUCAGGAUGGUCUGGGCCCCCUGAAGCUAAAUCCCAAUCAAAUCAGAUUUCAGGGAGUCUAUGCCAAGAAAAAUACCACUUGGGAAGCAAGGCAGAUGCCAUUUGCCACUUGUUUAUAGUACCAAUCAACCACUUAAGCUAUGUCAUACACUCUCCCCUCCUGGACAGUCUCCAGAGAGUAAGGUCUUUGAGUAUUACAGCAUUCUGGAAUAGGUAGUAAGUGAAAUGCCAGAGGGGACUACAAUAACCAUGUAUACAACCAAUUCAGGAUAGGGGCACACAGUGCAGAAGGAAGGUAAGAAGCCUGAACAAACCAGGGUCUCUGGGUUUCCAAGAUCAUCUGGACUUACUGGGUUUUGUUAAACAUUAGGAAAUACUGUUCAAAUAUAUAUUCACAUAUUUGUACUAAAGAACAUUUGUGGGUUUUUAACUAAUGUCAGCAUUAUUACUGUUCUCACUGAAGGAGUUAUAAAAUGAAGCCAUGUCCAGUUUAGAUAACCAGACUUUGACAAUAACUAAUAAUUUCUCACUGCUUUCCUCGCUAAAUGAUCAAAUGUUUGUCUUAUGAUUAAGUUAGCUUGUGCUCACAUGCCAUCAAUAUAAAGAGAAAAUAAUCUGACAUUUGAUACCAAGUACACUGUGGUAUUUUUGAAACCUGUAACCAUGUCUUUUAGAGGGAAGAGGAGCAGAUGGGAUUUGCUUAAAUUUCUUCUGUUCAAAAGAGACCAUCAAUACUGUUGCAAAGAUGAGGAACUGAAAGCAUCUACAAAAUGUUUUCAUACCCAGUUUCUUCCCUGUCUAACAGGAGUCCAGUGUCUUGGACAGCCACCCAGAGAGAUUUCAACAUACUACCUGAGAAACAGCGCUACAAGCACCUAUGCUGCUCCUUUUUUAACAAAACUAGAUGCUGCCCAAUGUACCUGACACAGACAAGCCUGCCCCUCCCCCAACAGUUAUUUUUACUAGGUGAUGGUGGUGGUGGUUUUACUCUUUUCUACUUGGAUAAUUUGAUUCUAGAGCAGUACUGCCCAGUAGAACUUCACACAAUAAUGGAAAUAUUCUCCAUCUGUGCUAAUACAGUAGCCACUAGUCACAUGUGGUUAUUGAUCACCUAAGCAAAUGAAUUUUUAAUUUUAAUUUACAUUUUUACCAACCACCUAUGUGGUAUGACUUCACCACAGUGGACAUUGUAGUUAUAGACCAAUUAGAAUUUUCUGUAGGAAAACUCUGUGUGUGUAUAUAUAUAAAUGGAUAUAUAUAUAUCAAAUACUAAACAUAUAAAAUAUAUAAAAAUCCUUAUGACAACGCUCCCUAGAACAGCUGAAAGAAAAAAGAAUUACUUUCAGUGAACAGACAAUUCAGGGUAUAAAUUGUUAUUUGCCUUCAGUGUAGAGUUACUUAAUCAAAGAACACACACUAGGCCCUCUUUCUCCUAUCUUAGUUUCUUUUUAUGAUCAGUGAGAACAACUAGUCACUUUAGUAACGGGUCAGAAAUCAGUCUUUGGCCUUGACUAAAGUAGUUAACACUCAUCAAA